rnacentral:lncRNA from 1 species
GAGGCAGGAGGAUCAUUUGAGCCAGGAAGUCGAGGCUGCAGUGAGCCAUGACCACACCUCUGCACUCCAGCCUGGAUGACAGAACAAGACCCUGUGUCAAGAAAGACCCAAUUUAAGGGGAGGAGAGGUGACGGCAUGAAGUGGGGCUGGAGAAAUGACGUGGGGUUCCUAAGUUAAUAUUUUUCCAGAUUAUGAAGCAGUUUUCUACCUUUUUAAAAAAUUUGAUCCAUGAACUUUUCAAGAGAUGUGUGUUAUUGCUGUUGUGGUGACCAUUAGCUCUCAUUUCUCAGAUGAGGAAACUGAGGCUCAGUGAGCCUGAAUGACUUGCCCAAAACUAUAAGGUCAGUUAGUGGUGGAACUUCUGCCCUCAAAUUUCUUGUCUUUUCCUGGAAGCAGUGUUGGUCCCUAGGUAAGAAACCACAGUUCAUA